GACUUUUGGCAAUGGAUAUCUUAGCUCUCGCAUCGAUGAAGAACGUAGCGAAAUGCGAUACAUGGUGUAAAUUGCAGAAUCUCAUGAGCCAUCGACUCUUUGAACGCAAGUUACGCCUGAAGCUAUUAAGUCGAGGGCACGUCUACAUGGCUAUCA